rnacentral:rRNA from 1 species
GGUGAACGCUGGCGGUAGGCCUAACACAUGCAAGUCGAACGGCAGCACAGUAAGAGCUUGCUCUUACGGGUGGCGAGUGGCGGACGGGUGAGGAAUACAUCGGAAUCUACUUUUUCGUGGGGGAUAACGUAGGGAAACUUACGCUAAUACCGCAUACGACCUACGGGUGAAAGCAGGGGAUCUUCGGACCUUGCGCGAUUGAAUGAGCCGAUGUCGGAUUAGCUAGUUGGCGGGGUAAAGGCCCACCAAGUCGACGAUCCGUAGCUGGUCUGAGAGGAUGAUAAGCCACACUGGAACUGAGACACGGUCCAGACUCCUACGGGAGGCAGCAGUGGGGAAUAUUGGACAAUGGGCGCAAGCCUGAUCCAGCCAUACCGCGUGGGUGAAGAAGGCCUUCGGGUUGUAAAGCCCUUUUGUUGGGAAAGAAAAGCAGCAGGUUAAUACCCCGCUGUUCUGACGGUACCCAAAGAAUAAGCACCGGCUAACUUCGUG